rnacentral:rRNA from 1 species
AGAGUUUGAUCCUGGCUCAGGACGAACGCUGGCGGCGUGCCUAACACAUGCAAGUCGAGCGGAGACAGUGAGUAGCUUGCUAUGAGCUGUUUUAGCGGCGGACGGGUGAGUAACGCGUGAGCAACCUUUCCCAGACAGGGGAAUAACACACCGAAAGGUGUACUAAUACCGCAUAAGACCACGGGAUCACAUGGUUCUGGGGUAAAAGAAUUAUCGGUUUGGGGUGGGCUCGCGUCCGAUUAGGUAGUUGGUGAGGUAACGGCCCACCAAGCCGACGAUCGGUAGCCGACCUGAGAGGGUGAUCGGCCACAUUGGGACUGAGACACGGCCCAAACUCCUACGGGAGGCAGCAGUGGGGAAUAUUGCACAAUGGGGGAAACCCUGAUGCAGCGACGCCGCGUGAGCGAAGAAGUAUUUCGGUAUGUAAAGCUCUAUCAGCAGGGAAGAAAAUGACGGUACCUGACUAAGAAGCCCCGGCUAACUACGUGCCAGCAGCCGCGGUAAUACGUAGGGGGCAAGCGUUGUCCGGAAUAAUUGGGCGUAAAGGGCGCGUAGGCGGCUCGGUAAGUCUGGAGUGAAAGUCCUGCUUUUAAGGUGGGAAUUGCUUUGGAUACUGUCGGGCUUGAGUGCAGGAGAGGUUAGUGGAAUUCCCAGUGUAGCGGUGAAAUGCGUAGAGAUUGGGAGGAACACCAGUGGCGAAGGCGACUAACUGGACUGUAACUGACGCUGAGGCGCGAAAGUGUGGGGAGCAAACAGGAUUAGAUACCCUGGUAGUCCACACUGUAAACG